GUGAGUAUAGCUCAGUGGCAGAGCGCAUGUUUAGCACGCAAGAGGUCCUGGGUUCAGUCCCCAGUGCCUCCA
rnacentral:tRNA from 1 species